rnacentral:misc_RNA from 1 species
GCAAUUCAGGUGAUCAUCGCUGGCGCUGCCUAAUGCGCGGGUCCGACCACGCUGGCUUGUGACACGGCCCUGAAAAAUCCCGCACGCAGCGAGUCUAACUACGGUAAAUUUAUCGCUGCCGUUUGAACAAUGAAGUCACAGCCGCGAUCGGACGGGACGAUGGGCUUGUUGAAAAUUCACCAGUACCGAGGAACCACUACUCGGCUAGUUCCUUGAAAACCGAUCAGUGCGAAUCAGUACGCAUUGAGUCCGUCAACGUUUGAUGAAACGAAUCGAUUGAAUUGGUUGAGCGAUUUGAAGCAACCUGAUUGGCUCUUGAGACACAGCCACGUAUCAGUAAUUUGCUGAAGGGCGAAAUCAACCGUUUCAUAA